GCCCAGACUCCUACGGGAGGCAGCAGUAGGGAAUUUUCGGCAAUGGGGGAAACCCUGACCGAGCAACGCCGCGUGAAGGAAGAAGUAAUUCGUUAUGUAAACUUCUGUCAUAGAGGAAGAACGGUGGAUAUAGGGAAUGAUAUCCAAGUGACGGUACUCUAUAAGAAAGCCACGGCUAACUACGUGCCAGCAGCCGCGGUAAUACGUAGGUGGCGAGCGUUAUCCGGAAUUAUUGGGCGUAAAGAGGGAGCAGGCGGCACUAAGGGUCUGUGGUGAAAGAUCGAAGCUUAACUUCGGUAAGCCAUGGAAACCGUAGAGCUAGAGUGUGUGAGAGGAUCGUGGAAUUCCAUGUGUAGCGGUGAAAUGCGUAGAUAUAUGGAGGAACACCAGUGGCGAAGGCGACGAUCUGGCGCAUAACUGACGCUCAGUCCCGAAAGCGUGGGGAGCAAAUAGGAUUAGAUACCCUAGUAGUCCACGCCG
rnacentral:rRNA from 1 species